rnacentral:rRNA from 1 species
AGAGCGAACGCUGGCGGCAGGCCUAACACAUGCAAGUCGAACGGACCCUUCGGGGUUAGUGGCGGACGGGUGAGUAACACGUGGGAACGUGCCUUUUGGUUCGGAAUAGCUCCUGGAAACGGGUGGUAAUGCCGAAUGUGCCCUUCGGGGGAAAGAUUUAUCGCCAUUAGAGCGGCCCGCGUCUGAUUAGCUAGUUGGUGAGGUAAUGGCUCACCAAGGCGACGAUCAGUAGCUGGUCUGAGAGGAUGACCAGCCACAUUGGGACUGAGACACCGGCCCAAACUCCUACGGGAGGCAGCAGUGGGGAAUCUUGCGCAAUGGGACGAAAGCCUGACGCAGCCAUGCCGCGUGAAUGAUGGAAGGUCUUAGGAAUUGUAAAAUUCUUCACCGGGGACGAUAAUGACGGUACCCGAGAAGAACGCCCCGGCUAACUCGCGCCAGCACGCCGC